UCUGUGGAGAGCUAUGUAAACUGAAUAAAUUUCAUCCUUAGAGAUAAAUGAUUUAUUUGGGGUUCUAAGAAACAGAAA
rnacentral:ncRNA from 1 species